rnacentral:rRNA from 1 species
GACGUAGGGCGCGAGCGUUGUCCGGAUUUAUUGGGCGUAAAGAGCUCGUAGGCGGCUUGUUGCGUCGACUGUGAAAACCCGCGGCUUAACCGCGGGCCUGCGGUUGAUACGGGCAGGCUAGAGUUCGGUAGGGGAGACUGGAAUUCCUGGUGUAGCGGUGAAAUGCGCAGAUAUCAGGAGGAACACCGGUGGCGAAGGCGGGUCUCUGGGCCGAUACUGACGCUGAGGAGCGAAAGCGUGGGGAGCGAACAGG